UAGCUGCGUUAAAUAGCGCGAAUUGCAGACACAUUGAGCGCUAAAAUUUCGAACGCACAUUGCGCCAUCGGGUUCAUUCCCGUUGGCAUGUCUGUCUGAGGGUCAGAUACCCUAUGUUACCGAUACAUGUCGUCGUCUCUAGGAUGUCGGCGCGGAGGACGUCUGUUCGCGUCGAGUCCCUAGCGUGUUGUACGACCGAUCGGUUAUACGGAGCGCUACUCUAUGUACCGCUCUUAGAUGAAACAGUUCUUUACGAACUUGCGUACAUACCUCGAACGUUGUACGCAGCGCCUGACGUUAGGUCGGCCGAGUUCGCGCGCCGCUUAUUGCUCGAACUAACUAGCGCCGAUUAAAAAUCGCUAACGUCUCACGGACGCGUUCAUCAAUUGACCUCAGAUCAGGCAUGACUACCCGCUGAAUUUAAGC
rnacentral:misc_RNA from 1 species